AAGAACUUAAUUUAUUAAAAAUAUUAUGUUGUCAACAUUCUUAAGCUCUUUACUAAACAAGUAAAUG
rnacentral:tRNA from 1 species